ACUGUUUACUAAGAGAACGGCAGCUGCACACAAGUUUUUCCUGCCUGUUAUUUUGGAUGUUUUUCGGGGUUUGGCGUUUCAAAGUGUUAGUUCAUGAUCAUAAAUGUACACAAGACAGACUCAAUGACGGCUGAGUAGAACUGUUUCAGCAGCUCCUGUGGCAGGUUAAACUUCCUCAGCUGGCGAAGGAAAUACAACCUUUGCUGGGCCUUUUUCACAAUGGAGUCAAUGUGAUUGUCCCACUUCAGGUCCUGAGAGAUGGUGGUGCCCAGGAACCUGAAUGACUCCACUGCAGUCACAGUGCUGUUCAUGAUGGAAAACUUACUCUGGAACAACAGUCUGUGCUGUGAGAUGAGAACAGAGACACUUUGAGCUUUAACCACUAACCAUCGACCAACUGCUGACUGAUGAGAAAACAUCAUUAGCUUGUGAGAGACAAAGACAAACUGAACCACAGUGAUCUGAACUGAAGACAGCGACUGUAACACAUUUCAGUUUCAUUCAGCAACAUGAACGGUGAAAAUCAGACCUUGAUGGAUGAGCAAAGUUAUUAUUUUGAUACUGGUUAUUAUUACAAUAUUACUGAUUAUCUGAUUGAUGAAACUCAAUAUAAUUCUUCAGAUAUCAUAAGGAGUAUCUUCCUCAUCACUAGUGCUUGUGUGGUUCUGCCAUUUCUGGUUUGGGCUUUUUGUCUUCUGCACCUUCACAGAAAGAUCACAGGCCGAACCUCAGUCUUCAUCUUCCUCCUCCUCCUCAAUGACCUGAUACAAUUACCCCUUCAUCUAUAUAUACUGGCAGGGUUUCUGACAGAAUACAGAUACUUUAUCCUUGAGCUUGUCCAGUUUUGGUUGGGAUUACAUUGGUGUGGUUUUCAUCUGCAUCAGCUGGUGGCUCUGGAGGGGAUCUUGACUCUGAAAUAUCCGCUUUGUUCUGCUCGUAUUUUCUCACUGCCCUGUUACAUCAUAAUCUCCAUCCUUGUGCUUUUUUUUUCUAUAGUGAGUGCGAUAUUUAGUUCCAUGCAUUCACAAACUACAAACAUGUCAUUAUUCAGUCUCUGCACAAGUUUUGUUCCUCUGAUCUUAUUGGCUGUAUCAUCUAUAAUCAGCUGUAAAGCCUCUUCCACUCCUGUCAGAAAAAACAUACGUUCAGUGCUCACUGUUGCUAUUCUUACAUAUGUUAUGAUGUACUUACCUUUCAUGUUCCUCAUCUGUGUGGAUUUACUUCAUUUAGGUCCAUAUGUCAGCCCAUCUUGGUUGUUAAUAUCUUUCUGUUUGAUGAAUUUGAGAGUGAUUUCAAGCCCUAUUCUGUGUGUUUUGGUCUGCAGACAAAAUCUCAGAGAUGUUCAGACGCCACAAACACACACAGAACCCAACGCUGAUGAGACGUCAGUCUGAACUUGAGUUUCAUUAGUCCUCACGUCUGAAUCUGGCUUCAAAACAUACACCCAUCAGUAUAAUGAAAAAUUAUUAAUAAAAUAAAUAAUAUAUGACUUUAAGAUUGAUUCAUUUUAAAUGUCUGUGAUUGCUAAAAGUGAAAGUGUGCUCUCUAUGCCAAAAACAGCACAAAUUGAGUUUCCAUCUCUUUAAUGAUCAUUUUGACAGUUUGUUUAAUAUUAUAAUAUAUGAAUAUGUAAAAAAAACUCAAAUCUAAAUGGUCAUGUUUGUUGUUUAUGAUUGAUUUCAAUAUUCAGCAAUUUAAAGUCUUGUACGGGGCUUCCCAUAUAUAAAAGAGUAACAUUCAAUGUGAUUUCAGCUGUCAAUCAUCCAUAUAUUAGAAUAAAACAUCUAACACAAUGCAGUUCUGCCCAGAAAAUGAUUUACACACAGAUCAUUAACAUUUGGACCUGAAAUGGUAUCAAAACUACAAAUAUAUGAGCAUCUCCCUCAAAUGAACACAUUACAGUCCACAGAGAUUGUUUUUAAAGACCACAAUAAAAAAAUCCCCCAAAAUACAAAAAUACAAAGACCUUCUUUUUUUUUAGCUUCUGCCUUUGCUAACAUUCGGACGUUCUGUCUUACUGCUCUGUGCUUUGCUUCUUAUUUCUGUACUUUUCUCUGAUUUUUCUAAGAUUUUUACUUCAGCAGAUCAGCACAGUGCUCAAACAACAGAUUUUUGGCACAAAUGCUAAAACUAAAAACUCUUUGGGACUGGAAUAAUACUACAAAAAUCACCCCCUCAGCAUACAGCCGGUGAGUCCCAUGAAUCUUCUGAAUCUCAACAGUUUACACCAAGUGUAGAGGAACAAGCCGAAACUGAUCGCCACACUAAUCAAUGGCAUAAAUAGGGAAGGAGACCCAAAGCAACACGAGACAUAUUUCUGCCAUAGCUUCCUCUACCCCAGAUUCGACUAUGACAAGGCUUGUGAAUCCUGGUAUUCUACCACCCCCUAUACAUCUGGAGAACAGAUUUGAAGCAUUAAUGAAUGUGGGUGAGGAAUCCCCAAAUGUGAUUAAACAUGGAUCGGAUCAGCCAGCACUCCGCUACUAACAGACGCUCAAGGACGAGCAGCUCAGAGCGCAGCCGAACCAAGGACUCUGAUAGUGGGUGACUAUUAUAUAUAUAUGUGUGUGUGUGUGUGUGUUUGUUUGUUUCAUAUACUUUCAUAUAUAUUCAUUUGUAUAUAUUUGUAAAUAACUUUUCAAUAUACAGUACUCAAACUCUCUAUACUGAGUGAGUUAAAUUGUUCACCAUUCAAAGUGAAUUUGUGCCCUCACAAGACUUGGAGAAUUAAACAUACAUGUCAUUUA